AUGAACGCUGGCGGCGUGCCUAAUACCUGCAAGUCGCGCGAACGGACGAGAAGCUUGCUUCUCUGAUGUUAGCGGCGGACGGGUGAGUAACACGUGGAUAACCUACCUAUAAGACUGGGAUAACUUCGGGAAACCGGAGCUAAUACCGGAUAAUAUUUUGAACCGCAUGGUUCAAAAGUGAAAGACGGUCUUGCUGUCACUUAUAGAUGGAUCCGCGCUGCAUUAGCUAGUUGGUAAGGUAACGGCUUACCAAGGCAACGAUGCAUAGCCGACCUGAGGGGGGGAUGGGCCACACUGGAACUGAGCCCCGCCCCAGACCCAAAGGGGAGGCGGCAGGGGGGAAUUUUCCGAAAGGGGGGAAAGCCUAACGGGGAAACGCCGGGGGAGUGAUGAAGGUUUGCGGAUCGAAAAACCUUGUUUUUAGGGAAAAACAUAUGUGUAAGUAACUGGGCACAUCUGGAGGGUACCAAAUCAAAAAGCCCCGGCUAACUCCGU
rnacentral:rRNA from 1 species